rnacentral:tRNA from 1 species
UGCGGGGUGGAGCAGUUGGCAGCUCGUUGGGCUCAUAACCCAAAGGUCACAGGUUCGAAUCCUGUCCCCGCUA